UUCAGUGCCUUUUUUUGCACUGAAAUUGAUUUGGUGCUAUUGGUACUGAACUUUUAUCUUUUGUGGAUUUGAUGGGUGCAAUGUCACGGUUGGUAAACCGUGAUCUCUGGGUGUUGGCACUUUGUGGUGAAGUCUGUGUGUUUCGCGUCUGCACUGAUUAGUUUGUGGGCGUCUCCGUUAAUUGUCAUCAGCAACAGCUGUCACUCAUUACUCAUUCCCUUUAUAUUGGCUUGUCUCACGUCUUGUGUUUGUGAGAUCGUUGUUUCAUGUCGCUUACCCUGUUUGUUUGGCUUCAGUGUUGUCUGCGUUGGAUGUUUGUGUUUUCCCGGAACCUCAUCCACUCUACGCACUUCCACUCAGCCACAAAUACUUACCUUCGGCUCUAUUCCCCGCAGUUCCUGUGCCAUCCUCUCCUGCUGCCUUCUCACCGUCAUCAUCCGGAUUCCUCACCACCUCACCACCAUCUUGGAUUUUUGUCUUCCCAGCAUCAUUGUCUUUUCCCUGUUUAUUUAUUUUCAUUAAAGAACCAUAACUCGCUAUUGUUUCCAGUCCUUCCUUCACCCAGCCGUCACAUGCAAGUACUUGCAGUCUGCAUAUUGAGUCCAUCAAUUUAAAAAGGACAAUCCUUAGUUGAGUGACUAUCAUUAGAAAAGUAUUGAAUUUACUGGUAACUGGAUUAUUUAAAAGCAGCAUGGUUAUAAAAUAUAUACAUGUUUUCAUUGUUGUUGAGUUUUAAAAAAAAAAAAAGAAAAAACAAAUGCCUCUACAUUUUAGCACAAUCUUAACUAUAUAUUCAGUUCACUGCAGUUUCCAGCUGAAAUGUGGCAGUAAAACAGUAAGACUUAUUUUCUUGCAGUUCCUUGUACAAUAUUUGGAUAUGUUUUGGCCUCAAAACACUUAUGAAUAGAUUGCAGAAUAGAUUUCAACAUUUUCAUCAUAUAACCAGCUCCAUAUGUAUGGCUUUUCUGACACAGUAAAGUUGCUUGGUAGCUCACCCAGUACAGCACUGUGAAUCAUGAUAAAGGAGUUAAGAUACAAAAAAGCAAGCUAAAAUUGUUUUUUGUCAGGUUUUUUUUUUUAGGUUUUUUUUUAGGUUUUUUUUUUUUGAGACUUGUUAUAGCACUUACAUAUCAUUGCUCUUUUGUUGUUUAUUGAUUGCUUCCAUUGUCCUCAUUUGUAAGUCGCUUUGGAUAAAAGCGUCUGCUAAAUGACUAAAUGUAAAUGUAAUGUAGUAAACAGUCAUCUGGUAGUGUCAGUUAAUUUACAGAAAAAUGUCUGUGUAAAAAUUGGGGCA
ensembl:lncRNA